CCAUUAUCACCAUAUUGAGACAGGACAGGAUCAAGUGGGCAAGAGGUGGCUGCACUUCUCCUUUCCUCUCGCCCCACCACUUGCCCACUUGAUCCUGUCCUGUCUCACCUUAUCAGAUCUCUCU